GAUGAACGCUAGCGGCAGGCUUAAUACAUGCAAGUCGUGGGGCAGCAUGAAUGUAGCAAUACAUUUGAUGGCGACCGGCAAACGGGAGCGGAACACGUACACAACCUUCCUAUAAGUGGGGAAUAGCCCAGAGAAAUUUGGAUUAAUACCCCGUAACAUAAUGAUGUGGCACCACAUUAUUAUUAUAGCUACGGCGCUUAUUGAUGGGUGUCCGGAUGAUUAGAUAGUUGGCGGGGUAACGGCCCACCAAGUCAACGAUCAGUAGCGGAUGUGAGAGCAUGAUCAGCCACACGGGCACUGAGACACGGGCCCGACGCCUACGGGAGGCAGCAGUAAGGAAUAUUGGUAAAUGGACGCAAGUCUGAACCAGCCAUGCCGCGUGAAGGAUUAAGGUCCUCUGGAUUGUAAACUUCUUUUAUCUGGGACGAAAAAAGGCGAUUCUUCGUCACUUGACGGUACCAGAUGAAUAAGCACCGGCUAACUCCGUGCCAGCAGCCGCCGUAAUAC
rnacentral:rRNA from 1 species